rnacentral:rRNA from 1 species
GACGAACGCUGGCGGCGUGCCUAAUACAUGCAAGUCGAACGCACUCUCGUUUAGAUUGAAGGAGUUUGCUCCUGAUUGAUAAACAUUUGAGUGAGUGGCGGACGGGUGAGUAACACGUGGGUAACCUGCCCUAAAGUGGGGGUUAACAUUUGGAAACAGAUGCUAAUACCGCAUAAAACCUAACACCGCAUGGUGUGGGUUUGAAAGAGGGUUUCGGCUAUCAGUUUAGGAUGGACCCGCGGUGCAUUAGUUAGUUGAGGGGGUAAAGGCGCACCAAGGCUGUGACGGGUAGGCGGCAUGAGAGGGUGAACGGCCACAUGGGGACUGAGAGAGGGCCAAGACGCCUACGGGAGGCAGCAGGGGGGAAUAUUGCACAAUGGGCGGAAGCGUGAGGCAGCAACGCCGCGUGCGGGAUGACGGCCGUCGGGUUGGAAACCGCGUUCGCCUGUGACGAAGCGUGAGUGACGGGAAGGAGUAAAGAAGCACCGGCUAACUACGUG